rnacentral:rRNA from 1 species
UUGAUGGCGACCGGCGCACGGGUGAGUAACGCGUAUCCAACCUGCCCUUUACUAUGGGACAGCCCGUCGAAAGGCGGAUUAAUACCGUACGUUGUCAUGUUGAUGCAUAUUUUCAUGACCAAAGGCUUCGGCCGGUAAAGGAUGGGGAUGCGUCUGAUUAGCUUGCCGGCGGGGUAACGGCCCACCGGGGCGACGAUCAGUAGGGGUUCUGAGAGGAAGGUCCCCCACAUUGGAACUGAGACACGGUCCAAACUCCUACGGGAGGCAGCAG